AAACUUUCAACAACGGAUCUCUUGGUUCUGGCAUCGAUGAAGAACGCAGCGAAAUGCGAUAAGUAAUGUGAAUUGCAGAAUUCAGUGAAUCAUCGAAUCUUUGAACGCACACUGCGCCCAUUAGUAUUCUAGUGGGCAUGCCUAUUCGAGCGUCAUUU
rnacentral:rRNA from 1 species